rnacentral:rRNA from 1 species
AGGGUUUGAUUCUGGCUCAGGAUGAACGCUGGCUACAGGCUUAACACAUGCAAGUCGAGGGGCAGCGGGAGGAGUGCUUGCACUCCUUGCCGGCGACCGGCGCACGGGUGAGUAACGCGUAUCCAACCUGCCCCCUUCCCCGGCACAGCCCCCCGAAAGGGGGAUUAAUGCGGGAUGCGGCCGCGCGACGGCAUCAGGUCGCGGCGAAAGGCUCUGGCCGGAAGGGGAUGGGGAUGCGUCCGAUUAGCUAGACGGCGGGGCAACGGCCCACCGUGGCGACGAUCGGUAGGGGCCCUGAGAGGGGAAUCCCCCACAUUGGGACUGAGACACGGCCCAA